GUUGAGUUAGCAACCCGAAGAAAAUAUCAAAAAAAUAGUGUAGAUCCAAUCCGAAGAAAAAGAAAUAAAGAGAUUAGACAAGACAACCAAAAACCAUUGAAAGAAGAAAUCUAAAAAAAUAAAUUCACACUUUCUAAUUAAUUUAAAAGAUAAAAUAAAACUAAAUAGAUCCACUUCAUUUAUCAAUUUAUCACAAUGAAUUAUAUUUGUUCGAUACACUGUUGUCAAUAUAAAUAUUGAAAAAAAAAACAAAAGAAAUUUCAAUUGAAAACAAUAAAAAAAAAGGACUUG
rnacentral:lncRNA from 1 species